rnacentral:rRNA from 1 species
UGGGGAAUAUUGCACAAUGGGCGAAAGCCUGAUGCAGCAACGCCGCGUGAGUGAUGAAGGCCUUCGGGUUGUAAAGCUCUGUCUUCUGGGACGAUAAUGACGGUACCAGAGGAGGAAGCCACGGCUAACUACGUGCCAGCAGCCGCGGUAAUACGUAGGUGGCAAGCGUUGUCCGGAUUUACUGGGCGUAAAGGAUGCGUAGGCGGAUACUUAAGUCAGAUGUGAAAAUCCCGGGCUCAACUUGGGAACUGCAUUUGAAACUGGGUAUCUAGAGUGCGGGAGAGGAAAGUGGAAUUCCUAGUGUAGCGGUGAAAUGCGUAGAGAUUAGGAAGAACACCAGUGGCGAAGGCGACUUUCUGAACCAUAACUGACGCUGAGGCAUGAAAGCGUGGGGAGCAAACA